CUGAACCACGAGCCUUGGCGAGUGGUUCAGAUUUUCGGGCCGAGCAAAAUAAACUUCGCUUUAUUCGGCACCGACCUAGUAUUCGAUUUAUCCCAUCAUCUUUCUUAUUCGUUAAUUAUUUCUUUUAAAAUAGAAUAGGAAAAUAAAACUACACGGAAAAUCCCGAAGUUAUUUUAAGCAAACAGUGUUUUUCGACCUUAGCUGUAAAGAGGUCCGCGUAAGAAAAUAGUACCAGAAUAUUUCAAGCAAAACAAUAACAAUUCAUUUAUUUACAAGACAACAGCCACUUACAAAUGUUACCAAAACUCAACCAAAUCAAUAACAAUAACCAAAUUAUAUUUAUAGCGAUGUAAAGAGUCAGGUUCAUUUAGAAUUUGUUUUUCUACACAGUAGGCCGAGCACGUGAGUCGACUUGGCGUGUAGAGCAAAUCGAUGCUUUUGUCGGAUUUACGGUGUGUCAAAGGUGUUAUUGCAAUACUGGAUUAGUUAUUGUGUACAUGAAAAUUCUGGAUGUUGAACGUUGCCCCGAUGAACUGGGAUUUAAAUGAGCUGGACAGUGACUGCUGAAAGCUGUACUGUGGCUGUGGGUGGGGAACUUGCACUUGUGUUUCGGGUAGAAUUUCCGCUUCGGUCUGAUGUUGUUCCGGCUGGCUAGGGGGCUGCGUUGACGAAAAUGUGGCCGUGCUGGUGACAGAGUGUUUCCUUCCUUGAAUUGGAUCUGCAUUUUGACCAUGGGAGGCAAGUAUCAAAUUGAUUAUACCUAAGGCUGUAUUGUUCCUUCGUGCCACGCAAACCAAAAUGCAAGCAGUUGUUUAGCCACAUGGUGUGGACAAGAGCUUUUGGACUGUUAGGACCUAGGACACCCUUCUGCCACAUUAUAUCUAUUUCAUGGUCGCUUCCGGUCCAGGCUACUGAUGAUGGCCCGGAUACUUGUCGGCUCAAACUCUGUGCCAUCUUCGCAUUUCAGGGAUAGAAUGAACGUUGC